rnacentral:rRNA from 1 species
UACGUAGGGGGCAAGCGUUAUCCGGAUUUACUGGGUGUAAAGGGAGCGUAGACGGCAUGGCAAGUCAGAUGUGAAAGCCCGGGGCUCAACCCCGGGACUGCAUUUGAAACUGUCAGGCUGGAGUGCAGGAGAGGUAAGCGGAAUUCCUAGUGUAGCGGUGAAAUGCGUAGAUAUUAGGAGGAACACCAGUGGCGAAGGCGGCUUACUGGACUGUAACUGACGUUGAGGCUCGAAAGCGUGGGUAGCAAAUAGG